UGCGACCAAAAGGCCGUGAUCAAAAAUACGGACAUGUCGGAAGAGAUGCAACAGGACUCAGUGGAGUGCGCUGCUCAGGCGCUGGAGAAAUACAACAUAGAGGACACUGCGGCUCAUAUCAAGAAAGAAUUUGACAAGAAGUACAAUCCCACCUGGAGUUGCAUCAUGGGGAGGAACUUCGGUAGUUACCUGACACAUGAAACCAAACACUUCAUCUACUUCUACCUGGGCCAAGUGGCCAUUCUUCUGUUCAAAUCU
rnacentral:lncRNA from 1 species